CCCUCAGCAGGUGCGCGAGUUCAUAACACGCGCGGUGGGUUUAAGUUAAUACGAAACCCGUGCAUUUUGGCCUUGUAGGGUGUGCGAAAUUCUGGUGAGCCGGGGCGGCACGAGAGCUCCCGGUGAGCUGCUGGCGGAGGCGGCCGGAGCAAGUGAGCCUCGUCGCAGGCACGGAUGAGCUCCCUCGGGCGGUCCGGAGUGACGCGCUGGGCCGGAUCCAUGGCAAACAGAUGAGGCCUCUGCAGAAGGGAGGAACACUCUGUGCUCCCAGGUCAGGGAAACAUGUCCCGUCGGAAACAGACCACUCCUAACAAAGUUCACUGGUGUAUAAGAAGAGAAACUGAGCUCUGUGCAUCAGGGAAGCUGGCUGUGUCCUGGCAUAGCAGGACAGGGAUAGGCUUGAACAAACAGCUGAUGCUGUAAAGUGAACAUUGGUUUUCUUAUCUGCAAUACAAUGAUUGUAUGUCUGGUCUUGGUUGCGGAGGAAGCUGUCUGACAAACAUGCUACCAGGGGGCAGGAGGUUAUAGCAUCAGGUAUGCCAUGGAGUGGAAUUCUGGGACCUCUUCAUCUCCUUUACAUGCAGAAUGUUGCUAUAGAGCAACUAUUCAGCAGGAGCCAUCGAGAGCAGCAAGUAAGACUACAAGAAAAUAAGGGGACUGAGAGAUACCAAAAACUUGUCAAUGGUGAUGUCUUCACCUUGGGAUGGAAAAUCUUGUCUGUCUUAUGAUGAACACCACGAAAUCGUUGGGACUUCUCUGUCUACCUAGCCUGCUGUGUGUCUGGAGGGCCCAGAAAUGCCGUGCAGUGCCCUGACGAGGAUAAUCGGAGAAAACAUCGGCUCCAAGAACGGGGUGAGCCAGCAGAAUGAGGAGUCAGGCUGAGACAUAGCAGACACGUUACUGGGACUUCUUCACAGGGACUGCAGUGGUUGGGAGGAGAGGAAUGAAAGGGACAGCAGGUAUGCAGCUUUUUACGCAGUUGCCUGCAGCUGGGGUCUGAUUUGGCAGGCUACGGGGCUGGGGAACUGCCUUUUGGAUUUGCAUAAAUACGACUGUGCAUAUAUGACUGGACAAAUUUGAUGGGAGGAUGGUGCCUACUUCUUCCUUGCAUGGCCACUCCGUCUUCUUUUCCUUCUUGGACUGACUAGGGCGAGUGACAGCUGCCAAUCUCCUCUCCUUGGCUUGCUUGGUGUCUCGUCUUUCCAGGAUUACUUUCCAGGCUUGGCAUGGCCCUCAUUCCACCUUGCUCUCACAACAAUAUGAUUUGUUGUCCUCACUUAGGACAGAAUCACACUGCUUGGCAAGCAGAGCAACCAGCUAGGAGAUUGUAUGGUUACAAAUCAAAACAGUUUUAAAUAGAAGUUGAUACGUAAGGAAACUCAAAAUAAUACUGAAACAAUGAUAAAGAUUGUGGUAAAAUUUAUCACAAAGGUCUUUCUGUGCAUGAUAGUUAGUCCCACAGUUUUAAUUGUAGUCAUUUCCCCUGCAGCACAUAAAUGGCUCUUAAGAAUAUAAUUUUAUUUUGCCAUGUGGUGUAUGAAAAACACCUGACAAAGUGCUAACAAACAGAAGCAGUAAUCAUGGAAUAUACUUGUUGGAAAAUCGCAGUUAGAUUGUUUGUGUGGAGAUACCUUAAUUGAUUCAAUUUGGUCUUUAUUUUCUCCCAGAGUAUGCAGCAUAAAAGUUUAAAAACUCUAAGCAAUUCAUCUGUUCUUGCAUUCAUCUGUUACUGUGCUGUAAUCCCAUCAGUCAUGGACCACUUGCUAUCUUCGUGCUUGCCAAAAUUUGUUGCAGGUAUUAGCAUGCACUUCUCUCUCCCUGCUGUCCACAAGCUGCUUUGCUUUUUAUUGCUUGUGCUCUCUGCAACUGAUGCUUAUUUUAGAACUCUGGAGAAGAGCUUUUGUUAGUGAGAUUAAUUCCUGCUUCUGAGCUCUUAUUUAUCAUGGUUCCAAAAUCCCACUAAUCCUCUAUUUCCUCCCCUCUCUCCCUAACACACGUACUGUGCUCUUUGGUGUUCCUUGGAUUCUCCUGUCUCUAAUAUUCCCACUUUGAGGGAUAAGUAUCUUGCAAGAAAUAGCACCCAGCAUUCACAACCGAGCAGAAAUGUUACUUGCAUCAAAUCCCUUGGUUCUGAAGGGCUCCGUGGACUGCCAUUAUUAACCCUUUCAAUUGUGUUGUUUUUCAUUUCAGUAACCACUACAGCAGUGUGGACAACCCAGAAUAGCCAUGGGGCAGGUGGAAUAGAUCCACAGUGGUGGAAAGACUUGCAAAUUUCAGGUCCAGGAACACAGAGAAGACCUACAUGAACAGGGACUUUAAAUUGAUGUACAAGGAGGGAAUAAACUGACUCAUCUCUGAGAGACCAUUCUGUUUAGGAAGGAAGGCAGGAGAAUGAUGUAGUCCCUUUGGAUUUUGUUUUGUGGAUUUGGGGUGGGAGUUGUUUGUUUCUGUGUUUAUUUUCCAGAGCACCUGGGAGUUAUCCUGCAUUCAUACAGUUCAAGAAGGGAAGGGCUCAGGGCUGAUACCCCAGCAGACCCUAGCAGUCAUGCCUAUCCAUGUUACACAGUACAACAGGGCUGUCCCCUACCUCCACCACUGCUCACUUGGCAUCCCACUCAUUCACAGCAGUAUGGAGAGGAGAAUGGAAUACAAAGCAGAGGCAUUUGUGUGAUCUCUCUUGUCCUACAUCUCUAGCUGUUUGUAAACAACUACAGUGACUUGUUUUGGUGUUGUGGUCAGCCUGCAGCGCUUUUUGUAUUUAAUAAAUAAACUUCUGGAGAAGAGUCUGUGAA